UGGGGAAUUUUGGACAAUGGGCGAAAGCCUGAUCCAGCAAUGCCGCGUGUGUGAAGAAGGCCUUCGGGUUGUAAAGCACUUUUGUCCGGAAAGAAAUCCUUGGCUCUAAUACAGUCGGGGGAUGACGGUACCGGAAGAAUAAGCACCGGCUAACUACGUGCCAGCAGCCGCGGUAAUACGUAGGGUGCAAGCGUUAAUCGGAAUUACUGGGCGUAAAGCGUGCGCAGGCGGUUUGCUAAGACCGAUGUGAAAUCCCCGGGCUCAACCUGGGAACUGCAUUGGUGACUGGCAGGCUAGAGUAUGGCAGAGGGGGGUAGAAUUCCACGUGUAGCAGUGAAAUGCGUAGAGAUGUGGAGGAAUACCGAUGGCGAAGGCAGCCCCCUGGGCCAAUACUGACGCUCAUGCACGAAAGCGUGGGGAGCAAACAGGAUUAGAUACCCUGGUAGUCCACGCCCUAAACGAUGUCAACUAGUUGUUGGGGAUUCAUUUCCUUAGUAACGUGGCUAACGCGUGAAGUUGACCGCCUGGGGAGUACGGUCGCAAGAUUAAAACUU
rnacentral:rRNA from 1 species